GCCGCGGCGCCUCCCACUCACCCCGGCUCUCCCGGCGGCCGCCCCUAGCUGGGCUCCAUGGAGCUCGCGCUCUGUCACGCCGCGGCACCGGGGCGCUGCGCCUGCUCCGGCCGGGCGGAGGGGGGCUCCUGCGGCGCUGUCAGCCGCCGCCGCCCGACUGGCGUGGCCGAGCCACGAGUCCCUUCUGCCCCUGGAUCUGCGUGGGUGGAUCCCGGUUUCUUCGCACCAGCGGCUUCAGCUGGGGUCUGCCUCCACUGAGACUGUGGUAAGAGGUGGCCUGGCCCGGACGUGGCAACCAAAUUCAUACACUGGGCGCCUUGAAUGGGGGACACCGGAUUUUUAACCCUACUGUUUACAGUGCAGUCCUGACAGCCUCGCAACAGCUGAGAUACACCCACCACCAAAACCAAAGCCCUGGGUAAACUGCAGUAUACUGACUUAAAUUCUGUGACAUGAUGUCUGGAAACAACAGCAUGUGGGAUAGGGCAAAUAUGAAUUGAAUAAUAGAUUCUUUUAAAUUUAAAAAUGAUGGAGUUUGAUGAAUCAAGUAUGAAUAUAAAUAAUACAUGCA